rnacentral:rRNA from 1 species
AACGAACGCUGGCGGCAGGCUUAACACAUGCAAGUCGAACGGGUGUAGCAAUACAUCAGUGGCAGACGGGUGAGUAACACGGGGGAACCUUCCUAGGGGUACGGAACAACUCAGGGAAACUUGAGCUAAUACCGUAUACGUCCGAGAGGAGAAAGAUUUAUCGCCCUUAGACGGGCCCGCGUCGGAUUAGCUAGGUGGUGGGGUAACGGCCUACCAAGGCGACGAUCCGUAGCUGAGCUUAGAGGAUGAUCAGCCACACUGGGACUGAGACACGGCCCAGACUCCUACGGGAGGCAGCAGUGGGGAAUCUUGGACAAUGGGCGCAAGCCUGACCCAGCCAUGCCGCGUGAGUGAAGAAGGUCUUCGGAUUGUAAAGCUCUUUUGCCAGGGACGAUAAUGACGGUACCUGGAGAAUAAGCCCCGGCAAACUUCGUGCCAGCCGCCGCUGUAAGAC